rnacentral:rRNA from 1 species
UACGUAGGGGGCAAGCGUUGUCCGGAAUCAUUGGGCGUAAAGAGCGCGUAGGCGGCCCUGUAAGUCCGCUGUGAAAGUCAAGGGCUCAACCCUUGGAUGCCGGUGAUACUGCAGGGCUAGAGUCCGGAAGAGGCGAGUGGAAUUCCUGGUGUAGCGGUGGAAUGCGCAGAUAUCAGGAGGAACACCGAUGGCGAAGGCAGGUCACUGGCCGCAACUGACGCUGAGGAGCGAAA